rnacentral:rRNA from 1 species
UACGGAGGGUGCAAGCGUUAUCCGGAAUCAUUGGGUUUAAAGGGUCCGCAGGCGGUCUUAUAAGUCAGUGGUGAAAUCUCUCAGCUUAACUGAGAAACUGCCAUUGAUACUGUAGGACUUGAAUUUGGUCGAAGUGGGCGGAAUAUGACAUGUAGCGGUGAAAUGCAUAGAUAUGUCAUAGAACACCGAUAGCGAAGGCAGCUCACUAGGCCAGUAUUGACGCUCAUGGACGAAAGCGUGGGGAGCAAACAGGG